rnacentral:rRNA from 1 species
AAUCCAGACUCCUACGGGAGGCAGCAGUGAGGAAUAUUGGUCAAUGGCCGGAAGGCUGAACCAGCCAAGCCGCGUGAAGGACGAAGGUGCCAAGCAUUGUAAACUUCUUUUGUCAAGGGACAAAAUCAGGCUCGAGAGCCUGACCGAGGGUACUUGAAGAAAAAGCAUCGGCUAACUCCGUGCCAGCAGCCGCGGUAAUACGUAGGGGGCAAGCGUUAUCCGGAUUUACUGGGUGUAAAGAGAGCGUAGACGGCGACGCAAGUCUGAAGUGAAAUGCCAGUGCUCAACACUGGAACUGCUUUGGAAACUGUGUAGCUAGAGUGCAGGAGAGGUAAGUGGAAUUCCUAGUGUAGCGGUGAAAUGCGUAGAUAUUAGGAGGAACACCAGUGGCGAAGGCGGCUUACUGGACUGUAACUGACGUUGAGGCUCGAAGGCGUGGGGAGCAAACAGGAUUAGAUACCCCUGUA